rnacentral:rRNA from 1 species
UAGGGAAUCUUCCACAAUGGGCGAAAGCCUGAUGGAGCAACGCCGCGUGUGUGAUGAAGGGUUUCGGCUCGUAAAACACUGUUGGUAAGAGAAGAAUGACAUUGAGAGUAACUGUUCAAUGUGUGACGGUAUCUUACCAGAAAGGAACGGCUAAAUACGUGCCAG